rnacentral:rRNA from 1 species
UCCGUAGGCGGGCAAUUAAGUCAGAGGUGAAAUCCUACAGCUCAACUGUGGAACUGCCUUUGAUACUGGUUGUCUUGAGUUAUAGUGAAGUAGAUAGAAUAUGUAGUGUAGCGGUGAAAUGCAUAGAUAUUACAUAGAAUACCGAUUGCGAAGGCAGUCUACUAACUGUAUACUGACGCUAAUGGACGAAAGCGUGGGGAGCGAACAGGAUUAGAUACCCUGGUAGUCC